rnacentral:rRNA from 1 species
GACGAACGCUGGCGGCGUGCUUAACACAUGCAAGUCGAACGGAAAGGCCCUGCUUUUGUGGGGUGCUCGAGUGGCGAACGGGUGAGUAACACGUGAGUAACCUGCCCUUGACUUUGGGAUAACUUCAGGAAACUGGGGCUAAUACCGGAUAGGAUCUCCUGCACCAGUGUGGGGGGUGGAAAGUUUCGGCUGUUGGGGAUGGACUCGCGGCUUAUCAGCUUGUUGGUGGGGUAGUGGCUGACCAAGGCUUUGACGGGUAGCCGGCCUGGGAGGGUGAACGGCCACCUGGGGACUGCGAUAGGGACCAGACUCCUACGGGAGGCAGCAGUGGGGAAUCUUGCACAAUGGGAGGAAGCCUGAUGCAGAAACGCCGCGUGCGGGAUGACGGCCUUCGGGUUGUAAACCGCUUUCGCCUGUGACGAAGCGUGAGUGACGGUAAUGGGUAAAGAAGCACCGGCUAACUACGUG